AACGAACGCUGGCGGCAUGCCUAACACAUGCAAGUCGAACGAGACCUUCGGGUCUAGUGGCGCACGGGUGCGUAACGCGUGGGAACCUGCCCUUAGGUUCGGAAUAACUCCCCGAAAGGGGUGCUAAUACCGGAUAAUGUCUUCGGACCAAAGAUUUAUCGCCUUUGGAUGGGCCCGCGUUGGAUUAGCUAGUUGGUAGGGUAAAAGCCUACCAAGGCGACGAUCCAUAGCUGGUCUGAGAGGAUGAUCAGCCACACUGGGACUGAGACACGGCCCAGACUCCUACGAGAGGCAGCAGUGGGGAAUAUUGGACAGUGGGCGAAAGCCUGAGCCAGCAAUGCCGCGUGAGUGAUGAAGGCCUUAGAGUUGUAAAGCUCUUUUACCCGGGAUGAUAAUGACAGUACCGGGAGAAUAAGCUCGGGCUAACUCCGU
rnacentral:rRNA from 1 species